CCUACGGGGGGCAGCAGUGAGGAAUAUUGGUCAAUGGGCGUAAGCCUGAACCAGCCAAGUCGCGUGCAGGAUGAAGGUUCUAUGGAUCGUAAACCGCUUUUAUAAGGGAAUAAAGUGCGGGACGUGUCCCGUUUUGUAUGUACCUUAUGAAUAAGGAUCGGCUAACUCCGUGCCAGCAGCCGCGGUAAUACGGAGGGGCCGGGCGUUAUCCGGAUUUAUUGGGUUUAAAGGGUGCGUAGGCGGCCUUUUAAGUUAGCGGUGAAAGUCUGUGGCUCAACCAGAGAAUUGCCGGUGAAACUGGGAGGCUUGAGUCUGGUAGAGGCAGGCGGAAUGCGUGGUGUAGCGGUGAAAUGCUUAGAGAUAACGAAGAAUCCCGAUUGCGAAGGCAGCCUGCUGGGCCAUGACUGACGCUGAGGCACGAAAGCGUGGGGAUCAAACAGGAUUAGAUACCCUAGUAGUC
rnacentral:rRNA from 1 species